UUUUGGUCAAAAAAGGAACUAAGAGCUAAGAGAGAAGAGGGGAAAGAGGAGAGCAAGAAUAUGAAUAUGCAAAGCCCAGGCAGAGGGACCAGGGUGGAGAAUACAGCAAACCUAGGAAGGAGCAUGGGGUGAAGAACCCUAGUCACCCACACACUCACCUAUCCGUUCAUUCAUUCAUUGAGUGUGUAUUCAUUCAGGACACUUAGUGGGAACAGUGUGGCUUUCUCAUCUGUAAACACACUAUGUCCCAGUUGAUCUGCAAGGACCAUGAAGUCCUUCUGUUGCCCUCUGGGAGACUAGGCAGGAGGUGUGCUCCUGUCC
rnacentral:lncRNA from 1 species